rnacentral:misc_RNA from 1 species
GAUGAAGAACGUAGCGAAAUGCGAUACUUGGUGUGAAUUGCAGAAUCCCGUGAACCAUCGAGUCUUUGAACGCAAGUUGCGCCCGAAGCCAUCAGGUUGAGGGCACGUCUGCCUGGGCGUCACAUAUCGUUGCCCAAUGCCUAUUGCAGUGCAAUAGGAAUUUCUAGGGCGAAUGAUGGCUUCCCGUGAGCGUUGUUGCCUCGCGGUUAGUUGAAAAUCGAGUCCUUGGUAGGGUGUGCCAUGGUAGAUGGUGGUCGAGUUAGAACGAUACCGAUCAUGUGCAUGCUCCCCAAAAUAUGGCCUCUAUGACCCACACGCGUCUUUUGACGCUCAUGACGAGACCUCAGGUCAGGCGGGGCUACCCGCUGAAUUUAAGCAUAUCAAUAAGCGGAGGA